UCGGCUACGACUGGGUGCUGAGAGGCGAG
rnacentral:sRNA from 1 species